rnacentral:rRNA from 1 species
GUAAGCGUGCGCAGGCGGUUUGUAAGACUGUCGUGAAAUCCCCGGGCUCAACCUGGGAAUGGCGAUGGUGACUGCAAGGCUAGAGUUUGGCAGAGGGGGGUAGAAUUCCACGUGUAGCAGUGAAAUGCGUAGAUAUGUGGAGGAACACCGAUGGCGAAGGCAGCCCCCUGGGUCAAAACUGACGCUCAUGCACGAAAGCGUGGGGAGCAAACAGGAUUAGAUACCCUGGU